rnacentral:rRNA from 1 species
UACGUAGGGAGCGAGCGUUGUCCGGAAUUACUGGGUGUAAAGGGAGUGCAGGCGGGACUGCAAGUCAGAUGUGAAAUGUAGGGGCUUAACCCCUGAACUGCAUUUGAAACUGUAGUUCUUGAGUGAAGUAGAGGUAAGCGGAAUUCCUAGUGUAGCGGUGAAAUGCGUAGAUAUUAGGAGGAACAUCAGUGGCGAAGGCGGCUUACUGGGCUUUUACUGACGCUGAGGCUCGAAAGCGUGGGGAG